CUCAUCACACCAUGUUGGCCUCUGGACUGCUCCUGGUGACUGUGGUGGCCUUCCUCAGUGUCAUGGUUUUAAUGUAUGUCUGGAAGCAGAGGAAGCUGGCAGGGAAGCUGCCUCCAAGACCUACGCCGUUACCCUUCAUUUGAAACUACCUUCAGCUGAACACCCUCAUGAAGGUGCUGUGCUGGGCAUGCAGAGGGGUAGAACGCAGGCCGGCUGGGAGGGACGCCCUAUUUUGAUUGCAGCUUUGUGGUAGGGUAUUGACCAGGAGGGAGUGUAAUUUUAGGCCAGAGGAAUUGUAAAGAAUCAACCAGUUCCCAGACAUGUGGCAUCACAUCUUGGGACACCGGGUCUGAGAGUUGUUUGAACUCUAGAGGAAUGAAUCCCAGGCAGCAUCAAGGUUUGGCCACCCCCUCUAACCCUCUCACCUACCUCCAUCAGAUCAGCGAACGCUAUGGUCCUGUGUUCACCAUCCACCUGGGGCCUGGCAGAAUCGUGGUGCUCUGUGGGCAGGAGGCAGUCAAGGAGGCUCUGGUGGACCAAGUUGAGGAAUUCAGUGGGCGGGGCGAGCAGGCCACCUUCAAUAGGCUCUUCAAAGGCUAUGGUUAGGGGACCCAGAUAGGAACUGCAGCAGGGGACAUUUGAGGGCAUCUAUUUCCCAGCCUUCUCUCUUCCACCUCCUCCAGGCUGUCUUCUCCAGGGCAUCACUGCCUCCUGCUGGGUCAUGUCUGAGGCUUGACUCUCUGCCUGUUUCCCAAUUCCCACAGUAACCCCUAAGCCUCCUCUUGCAGCUUGGGAUUCCUCUGUCUGAAUCCUGCUCCUGUAACCUGAGCCAAAGCUUCCCCCCAUCCCAACCUGGUCAUUCUCAGCUCCUGUGAACAGGCAGGAUGCUUUCUGUCCUCUCCACUUCCUCUUCCACUGCCAGAAAUCACAGAACAUGUGUUCCCAUGUCCUGUCUCCUGACAACAUCUUCUCCUCCUCAGACUCUCCUUGGGUCUCUCUCCUUGUUUCCCUCUCUUUUCUAGCUCAGUCAUGCAUCUUUCACAACUGUAUCCACCCCCAGGUCUCCACAGUCUCCCGCCUCUGCCCUGUUUCUCUGUCUCUGUCUCUUGCAUCUGUCCUCCAUUCUCUUACUGUCCCAUAACUUGGUUUCCUGGUGCCUUCUUGUAUUCUGCAUGUGCAUUUCCAGUGAUCCCUGUGCAUCUUGCUCCCUCUGGCUCUCCUCUUGGGAGCCAGUGCUGGGGUGGUCAGUGGACAGCCCCUCCUCUCUUCUUGAAGUCUCCCAUCACCUUUCUCACCUGCCCAGGAGUAGCCUUUAGUAGUGGGGAGCGAGCCAAGCAGCUGAGGCACUUCUCCAUCUCUACCCUGCGGGACUUCGUUGUGGGCAAGGGUGGCAUUAAGGAGUGCAUCCAAGAGGAGGCGGGCUUUCUCCUUGAGGCAUUCCGGAAGACAAACGGGGCUACCAUUGACCCCACCUUCUAUCUGAGCCGAACAGUCUCCAAUGUCUUUAGCUCCAUUGUCUUUGGGGACUGAUUCGACUAUGAGGACAAAGAGUUCUUGUCACUGUUGCGGAUGAUGCUGGGGAGCUUCCAGUUCACGGCCACUUCCACGGGGCAGGUACCCUGCCUCAGCCUUGCCCUACCUCGCCCCUUAACACCGGUGCCAGCUCACUCCCAAACUCCCAGCCUGCUCAAGUGGUAUCUUCAAGCUGGCCUGGCAGUUAGUGCCAGAACAGAUGUCAAUGCACAGUCAACAGCUGUGCCUGAAAUCAGCUGGCGGCAGUCUGUCUACCUGCAUGCCUGCCUGUCUGUUUCUGUCUGUGUCUCUCUCUAUACAUGUGAGUGUUUCUCUCUCUCUCUCCCUGUGUAUUUUUGUCUUUCUUUCUGUGUGUCUGUCCAUUUCUCUGUCUGUCUGUCUCUCUCUCUCUCACAUACACACACACACACACCACUCAGCUCUCGACCCACUGGACUAUGCAGAUGAGUGACACUCAGACAUGAAAAUACCCAAACACCUGCACCUCUAACCAAAAUGUUUACAAAGAAUGCCCCCCACUAACAAGGCUCACUAACAAGUCACAAUUCGGCAUCCUGGGAACACAUAGCUCCAGAUGGUCACAGAGGACAGUUAUGGGAGGGAAGAGUGGACACAAAUCUGCUCAGUGUGACCAUUGGCUGUGGGAGGCAUUGUGUUCAGUGGCUUCCAUUUCUGUGAUAAGGAGCAAUACUUUCUCCUAAGACCAAGCAUGAGGCAUGUCUGGACACGGCCAGGGAUUGUUGAGUUCACAUGACUCCCGCACAGCACCAAACUCAGCGGUCUGAUCCUGCCCUCCACUCUGAGCUAUGCUGGAAUAUGUCAUAGUCUCAUUAGUUUUGUUGUCAAGGCCUCUCCUUUGGGAAGUAGAGAAAGGAAAGAUUUUUUCCCCCAGGGUUGGAGGGAGGUUUCCCCUCUUUAUCUUCCUGACUCCCUGCAGCUGAGUGCAGACUGCUCUUCUUCCUGAUGGAUAGACAGCAAGUAAGAAAGGAAGCUUGUACAUUAUAUACACAAAGAGGGAGACACAGAAGAGGAGAGGAGAUUAGUAAGUAUGAGAAGGGGAAAAAGAGAAACAAGAUUAAUGAAGGGUAAAUAUGGUCAAAUGCAUGAUAUACUUGAAACUAUAAACUAUAGACAAUUAAUAUACCCCCAUUAAAAAUAAUGCUAAGACUGAGGAGAUAUUGGCAGUUGAUGGCUGCUGAGAAUGAAAGAGGCGGUGCUCAUUAAAAAGAUGGCAGCAGAUAUCCCAAGUCUUUCCUGGGGCUUCCAUCCAGCUGAAUGAUCAAAUAUUGUCCUCAAAUAUGAGGCACAAAUCAUUCCCUUUGGAGAAGGAUGCCUUUUCCACGAGAGCCUUCUGGGCUCUGCAAAGCUGUGUGCCUGCUGUCUACUUCACUCUAUAGAAUUCUGUCAGAGGAUGAAGGCAUAUUUGGCAUGGGCUAUGCUUGUUGAGCUAUGAACAAGCUUAAACCAGUGUCAGAAGGAGAAAGCCCUCAAUUGGGAAGGAACAGUUAGGACAAAGAAAAAGGAGAAAUAAUGGAGAGACUACAGCAUGGAACAGAGGAUGAGGAGGAAGAAACUCCCAUGAUGAAGGAGUUUUUCUAGGUGCCUCAUCCUCUUGUGUAAUGACCAUUAGCUCUUCACAUAGCUUAUCUGGUCCGUGUCUUAUCACAUUGAUGGCCACAGAGAAAAUGCUGAAGGAGAGAGGUUCUGGGAUCAUCUUAACCUAGUGACUCUUCCUGGGAUCUGGCUAGGUGUGUUGUCCUGUCCUCCCUGUCUUGAGGCAAAUACUCCAACAGCAGUGAAGAAAGGGUAAUGAAUAAAUAGCCCAGAAAGCUUGGAUUUUUGCUACAUGUCACAAUGCUCUUCUGUCUCAAAAUAGGUGCAAAAUAAAGAGGUUUCAACUUUGGUACCAAUGCCUGCCAAUCAGUUGGGUCUGGCCAGAAUAUUCUCCAAAAGGGAUUCCUAGACUAUGAAAUAGAGCCUCUAUUAGUUAUGCUUGACAAGGAUGACAUAAGUAUAAAUUUAUCCUUCUUAUGUUUUCUGAGCUGUGCUGUGUUCUCACUACACACACACACACACACACACACACACACGAAGCAUCCAUCAAGAAUGAAAAUGAGAGGUAGGAUACAACCAACUUAUCAACCUUGCAAGCUUCCCUAAGGGUCUGGGCAGUAGUCCAUACAUUAUCUGCAAGUCAGAAAUCUUGGCUAGCUGUGCUCUUUAAGCCAUAUUAGUGGCUGUUUACUAUUUUUGAAGGUCCCUUCAUUCUGACAGGUGUGUUCUUGAGUUACAAUGUCCAAUACAUCAAAAGUCCUACUGAGGCACCACUAUAGUCUUCCACCCUUCCCAGGACUCCACAAGAGUCGUGGGGGUUCUCUGUUCCAUAGUGUCCAUCCCGGACUCACUAAAAUCCUAGCAGGUCACAAAAACUGAACCUUGCAGUUACUUCUGGGAUCCAUCCCAGAGUCUUGGAACUCUGAAGUUGAGGGCUUGUAAUUUCUCUGGAGGAGCCAUGCAGCCUUGCUUUUCCAUAGUUCUUGUGUUUCUGCAUUGAGAUCUGCACAUUUGGUGGUUAGCAUCUAUCUUCCAGUUCCAGGUGGGGAUAUUCUUUUUUUCCAUCUGUAUCUGGCAUUAUUAAAGAUACUUUUCAUAAAAAUCAUAGUAUUUCAGGCAAGACAUGGGCAGACAAUCAUUAACAGGAUACAAGAGCUCCCAUACUCCCUUCUUGCAUAGACUACCAAAAUCCAAAAGCCACUAUAAAACCCAAUGAAAACUUCAACCAAUGCUUUGAAAAUGAGGAAGGAGCUUAGAGUGAGGGUUGACAUUUCACAUUAACGAUGUUGUUUAACAAGUUUUCACAAGCCGACACUGAUCAGGAAAUUGAAUGAAAAUGGUAGAAUUAUCAAUCUAAAAGAUCUUCAAUGUUUUAUCAAAGGAGACACCACUCUUCUGAGGACAUUCAAUGAUGUAACUGCAAAGUCACGAUCACCCAAUAGACUGGAAAACCAAUUCGGAAGAUCAGGCUUCAAUAGGUCUGUUGGUAUAAUGUUCUUAUGGUAUAUAUACAGUGUACUCUUGUUCAUUCAAAUUCUGAUUUUUCUACCCCACUAUCUGGUUUCAAUCCAGACAUUCCAUUGUAAUGCUUUUGUCUCAAGUUUGUGUAAACAUGCCACCACUUGUUUUUUGUAUUGUCAAUAAAACAACUAGCCAAUGCUGAGCAAUGCAGAGAAUAGGGUGGGACAUCCUGGUCUGGAGGGGAGGAGAAGGAAGUGAAUGGGAGGGGAAUCAGAGGAGAGAGAUCAGGGAGGAAAGGACUUGAAACUACCAGGAGAUAUGAACUGGACCUAAGAUAUGACUAAAAGCAGGUAUAAUGUGAAAAAUCUGAAUGGGAGGAAACCAUGAGGGCUUGGAGGUUUAGGAUGGAGUAACUAUUGCCCAUCAUUGUGCUCUAGGUUAAUUAAAUAAAUCCUAGUCUCUGUGUGUUGAUUUGGGUAUACACUGAUUUAGGAAUAACCACUGUUUAACUAAAAGAUAAGUCAAUAUUAAAUAUUAAUUACCAACAACACAGGUCUCUGUUUUUAAGGGAGUUAAGUCGAUGAUGGUACAGGGGGAGGGGGAUAUAAAAAUAAAUUUAGAGUUUUCCCACACCACAAGGCAUUUUGUGCCAUGGUAGCCACAUAUGUCAAGACCGUGGCAUCUCUUCUGGGAGCCAAAUGAAGUCUCUCAAAAUUAUCAAGGAAAAAUGUUCUCCAAAAUCAGUCCACCUUGGGAGACACUUUGUUAGCGACACACGUUCCUUUCAACCCAAAGCAAUGAAGCAUUCUGAAUGCUAACAUCAUAGCUUAAAAAAAAUUAAAAUAAAAUUCCGUAUUUUUAUAAAACUUUAUAAAAAUAGUAUUUCAAACUGUACAGUCCCCAGAAGCACACAGUUAUCAAAAAUGCACACACGUCACUUGCCAUCUCCACAACUUCAGCUUUCUGUGCCUGGUUUGGGCGGCUCCGAUUUCCUCAGGAUUUCAGCCGUCCUUUUCUUCCUGUUGGGUACCUUCUCUCCCUUCUUUGUUGGGGCUUUUUUAGGCUUGGGCUCUCGCUUUGGAGGAGCCAACAGACAACCUUGCGGAUCUCUGUGGCUGGUCCUUCACAUUGGCUUUAUCUCCAUCAGCAACCCCUUUUGCCUUUCUUUGGGGCAUGGCAGCAGUGGGGAACAUAGGCGGGAAAUGCCAGGAUACAGCAGUACGUGGGUUUGGUCGAUGGGUGGCAUCGCUCAUUGCUGCUGCUUCACCCUGCUCCGCAUUUGAAGAUAUUCUUGCGGAACAACCACUCUGAAGACUCAGUCCUCAGUACAGCAGCAACAUCCAGAGCCAUGCGAGGUUCAUUGCAGUCACUAGCACACCACCAAUGAGGACAAACCUGAGAACCGAAAAACCACCAUAGAAGGUACUGGUGGAGCUACAAAUUACUCAGGAUAAGUGGGGCUGGGGAAAUAGAGGCAUAGAAAGCAACAUUAAAUAAAUAAAGCAAAAAUAGUGAAAAAGAAUGCUUUAGAGAGGAAGACGAUAAGUCAGAAAAUUAGAAAUCAGUAAAAAGGAAAAAAAACAGACUUCCAUUAAUAAUAAAAUUAAAAUUAGAUAAAUUUUUGAAAUUGAAUUUUAAAAUAACAUACAAGUUGUUCUUUGGCCUGGAGAGACAGCUCAGUGGUUAAGAGCCUCCUUUCACCAGGGGCUAUGCAGUUCAACUGAAGCUCUGUGACUUGUGGCUAGUCCUUUUCUUAAGUCCCUAGAGUAGCUCAAUGGUGUGUGUGUGUGUGUGUGUGUGUGUGUGUGUGUGACUGACUGGCCUCUCUUGAACAUUGCAAACACCUCCAUGGAAAGGUGGAGGGAAUAGGAAGGAUGGCAGAAAUGAAGGGACCCAAACAUCAAAUUAACUCCAAAUGCUGAAUCCCACUACAGAAACAAAAACAGCAUGAAAACCCAAGACCUCAAAACAAUGUUUUGUUUCUUCCAAAAGUUCAAUCCCGUCAUAAUGAUCUCCAAUGAGAGUGACUAAGAAGAAUUUCCUGAGAAUGCAAAAGAACAAUUACAAGUAUGUUCAAGCAGCUCAGAGAAGAAUUGAACGUACUCCAAAAAAAGAGUAAGACACCAAAGAAAGUAAAGAAGCCAGUGCAAGGUAGGAAAGGAGAAUUCAGUCAGAGCUACUGGAGAAAAAGAAAAAAAACUGCGAUGAUGUGGGAGAUGAAAACUCAGCGGAAAGCCUCACCAACGGAAUGAAUGUGUGUGUUAUGUUAUGCAGGCAAUUCAACUGGCCUGCUGGCGGGGGCGGGGGGAGGCUUAGGGUCCUGACAACGUUCUUGUCACCACCUGCAUUCUAUGCCAUCACCUGGGCCAGGUGCUCCAGAUACAAUCCAUCUGCUCCUCCUACCCGCUCUCUCUCCCUCUCUCUGUGGUUCUUGCUCACUCUUGCUCUGUCUCUCUCUGUCUCUCUCUCUGCCUGUGUGUGCAUGCACGCGCUUUGGUUUCUUUCCCCUUCCCUCCUCUCUGACUUUUCUCUCUCACUUCCCACAAACAUGCAUCUCUUUCUCUUCUCCUCUAACAUGUCUCCUUUUUAUUUCCCCGAAUAAAUCUCUUUCAUAUCAGA